rnacentral:rRNA from 1 species
AGUGAACGCUGGCGGUAGGCCUAACACAUGCAAGUCGAACGGCAGCACAGUAAGAGCUUGCUCUUACGGGUGGCGAGUGGCGGACGAGUGAGGAAUACAUCGGAAUCUACUUUUUCGUGGGGGAUAACGUAGGGAAACUUACGCUAAUACCGCAUACGACCUACGGGUGAAAGCAGGGGAUCUUCGGACCUUGCGCGAUUGAAUGAGCCGAUGUCGGAUUAGCUAGUUGGCGGGGUAAGGCCCACCAAGGCGACGAUCCGUAGCUGGUCUGAGAGGAUGAUCAGCCACACUGGAACUGAGACACGGUCCAGACUCCUACGGGAGGCAGCAGUGGGGAAUAUUGGACAAUGGGCGCAAGCCUGAUCCAGCCAUACCGCGUGGGUGAAGAAGGCCUUCGGGUUGUAAAGCCCUUUUGUUGGGAAAGAAAAGCAGCAGGUUAAUACCCCGCUGUUCUGACGGUACCCAAAGAAUAAGCACCGGCUAACUUCGUG